rnacentral:snoRNA from 1 species
UUCGAGACUAGAGUCACUCUCUUAGACAAUUUGUUCUAAGAAGAGUGCUAAAGAAUCUCGUAGAUUAAAUGCCAGUUUAUGCGCUGAACUUCUUAUCUAUAAGAGUAUUGGUCACAGAU